rnacentral:lncRNA from 1 species
GGGUACUGUAGCCGCCCCUGACACAGGAAGGGUUAAUAAUCACUGGAAAAAGCUUGCCAACAAACUGUGACCCGGAGGUGAGAAGGCCAGUUAGCCAAUGACGGGUAAGACCCCCUGGGGGGCAACCUAAGCCAGGCGGCGGCCGCCCGGGGGCACAGAUGGAGAAACGAUAUCGAUAUCGGGAGCAAGAGGGACCAAGGCCAGUUAGCCAAUGACGGGUAAGACCCCCUGGGGGGCAACCUAAGCCAGGCGGCGGCCGCCCGGGGGCACAGAUGGAGAAACGAUAUCGAUAUCGGGAGCAAGAGGGACCGUUGCCUAAGAGACCUUGCCUGCUCUGAGAUAAAAAUAUAGGAGCACAGCAACAACAUGAUAAUAUCAAAACAGAGGCCAAGAGAGGGCUCCUUGAGAAAUCACUAAGAAUUCUUGGCAUUCGCUAAUUACUUCAUCCAGAACACCUGUGUAUGUUUAACAGAUGUAAGCUAUGUAUAUAUUGAAACGCUGGUUAUAAUAAACUCAGAGUGGCCAUCAGCCCUCUCCGCAUCUAUCCUGAUGUGUACAUUGGAUUGUGACACCGACAGGUACAGAUGGCAAGAAUGAAGGGAACAUUAGCCAGUUCUGCCCUAGUUCAAUAAAAUUAUUAAGCACGUAUCCCCCAAUCAGAGGAAAGUGAAUGAUGUGUUUUAAAAAAAAGUGCCAGCAGCAGAAUUACUCUAAGACUGAAAGGCUCCCAGCACAACUUGGAAGUUUCUGUUACUGAUUUCAAAUGAGAAUUAUUGUUAAUAGGAAUAAAGUUAUUAUCGGCAUGAAUCACAGACACAGAAACCUGUUAACUUAAUAAUGUGGCAAACGUACUAUUAAUCUUUAGUGAAGCAAUAUUAAUAUAUUGCCUAAUCUAAGAAAAGGCUCCAGUGUCUUGAAAGCUUGAAAUCAUUUCUGCUUCUGCCUCAAGUUCUGAAAUCAUCCCCUUUUAAAAUUUUAAAUACUUUUAUUUCACAUAAGCCUCUGAGUAUUCAGAAAUAAUUGCUGUCAAUAGAGAUUCAUUUUCACCUUUGAAUGGCCAGUAAUGUCAAAUGGCAACGUCAUUGGCCUUCAUAUCAACAUAUUUUAAAUGUAUGUCUUGGAACUGAAGGUCAAUAAUGGCUACUAAAUUUAAAAUAUGGAAUUCUAUGAUGUUUUAUUCUUGGUACUUUGAUUGCCUUUAUACUGGUGAUUAUUUCAUCUGAAGGCAAAAAUCGAAUUCCAGCCUAUCUCAAUGGAAGUUCCUUUGCCUCCCUUGAGUACAUUUGAACCAUUUUCUUUGAAGUUUCUAGCACAACACUAGUAUAUAUAAUUUUGGAAACUAUACAGUCUGUAUCAGGGAUUUUUAACCCAGCUGCAAGACAGGCAUUGUGGGUAAUAGCAAAGUAUGGGAGUUGAUAUGAGUCCUAAAUUGGGAUGGCUGCUCUGUCAUAUAUUAGGAGGGUGACAUCGAACAAGUUGCAAGUUACUUAAUGUCUCUGAGCCUCGGAUUAAGGUUAACAGUAUCAGACAUAUAGGCUUGCUGUGGGGAUUAAAUUAGAUACUGUGAAGUCAUCUUUUAGAAGCUGUAACACGUAUAGGUGAUCAAUAAGUAUUAGUUUUUGUUCUUUGCAAUAAACUGGGCAUCUAGAUUUGGUGAGAUGCUUAAAAAUUAGUUUAUCAAAAUUUAUUGUAAUUUAUAUCAAAUUUAAAAAUACAUGACGGUUUGCAGCGAAGGAUCCAAUUUAGCCAAAAGAAAUGCCAGAUGUCACUGCAUUAUGAAGAUAAAAAAUCAGUAAUUUGUGCUAUGUGCACACAAGGUUCAAGGCUAGCUAUAGACCACUUAGUAAUUUUAUACUCAUUAUUAAUUUCUCCGUUCUAAGAUGCUUUUAUGAUAUAAAUGAUCAUUAUAUGGGUAAUAUUUUUGUGCUUUUGUGCCAGCUAUUGCUAUUGUGGAGUCGAGGGGGAGGUUGAACCUGCUAAGUCAGUCUAGCUUUCAUAUAUUGUUUAGAAGAAGGGUUGGCAAACUUUUCUAUAAAGAGCCAGGUAGUAAAUAUUUCCAAAUAUGGAUUCUAUUGGAACUACACAACUCGGUUGUUUUCAUGCGUAAGCAGACACAGUACAACGAACAAAUCAGAGUGGCUGUGUUCAAAUAAAACUUUAUUUACUUAUUUUGGAAAGGAAAAUUGGCCCUGAGCUAACGUCUGUGCCCAUUCUCCUCCACUUUGUACGUGGCAUGCUGCCACAGCAUGGCUUGACGAGCAGUGUGUAGGUCUGCACCCAGGAUCCAAACCCAUGAACUCAGGGCCAUCAAAGCAGAGCCCGCAAACUUAAUCACUACACCACCGGGCCAGUUCCUAAAUAAAACUUUAUGAUGGACACUGAAUUUUUAAUUUCAUGUAAUUUUCAUGAGCCACAAAAUAUUUUUCUUCUUUUGACUUUUUUCAACCACUUAAAAAUGUAAAAACCUACUUACCUUGAAGUACACACAAAAAAAGGCAGUGGGCUGGACUUGGCUUCCAGACAGAAAUUUGCAGACUCCUGGUUUGGAGGAGCAAGCAUUGUACUAAAGGUCAAGAGUUCUUUCACAACUAUUCACUGUGUGACCUACCCGACUUCUCCAAAAUCAUUUAAUUUUCCUGAGCCUCAGUUUCCUCUUCAACAAAUGAAGUAAUUGAGUAAAUUAAUCCCUAAGUUUCUUUUCAGCUUUAUUGUUUUAUGAUUUAUGAGUAGAACUCACUCAUUAGCUUUCUAAUUUCUAAGUUGAGGUUAGCAAUGAAGAUAGUCCCAAAUUUCUUCAAAGACUUUUAUAAUCAUUGAUAUUGCUUCAUAAGUAAGUUAGUCUUUGACGCUUAACCACGUUAAAAUGUUUUAAAAAUCACAUAUAUUUAUAAAAGGUACUUUAGACUUAGUGCUUUCUUUUUGACUUCUCCACAGCAUAAGGACUGAUUCACCAAGGAACUAAGAGUAGGUGGGGAGAGAAUCACUUGCUCAUUAGGACUUAUACUUAAGAGCACAGUGGAGGUGGUACUCAAAUCAGUCAAUUUAGCUACUUGUUAGUACCAGUUUUUAAAGGCUUAAUGAAGGAGGAAGGCAAAAUGUUUAGCUAAGGGAAGGUUGGGUAAUUGUCCAUAGAGCCUAUAUUUUCAUGCCCUACUCUUAUGCCUUACGCCUGUGCACCCUGAAGUAUUGUCUGCCCCUCCUGACAGACAUUUAUAGUUCUACAGGAGAAACAGCAUACGCAGAUUCUCCUCAGGUAUGCCUCUGCUUGACCCCUCUUAGCUCUUGAAAUUACAGGCUAUAAUGAUUAGAAGCCUUUAUAGGAUAACUGCCUGACAAAGUGUAUGGGAAGCGCUUGCUGGGGUGAAAACAAACGUUUAUUUAUAAUGUUAAUGUGCAAUCAUUUGAUUGUUGUGGAGGUAGUGUUAAUUAUGCUUCCUUACCUGCAUAAUGCACAUUCUGUGUAGGAGCUGAGAAAUGAAGAUAGGGAGAAGGGUGAAAAACAAUUUGUGUCUUCUACAUGGAGUUCACUGUAGCAGCCACCAUUUUUUUCCUUGGCAUGGUCUAACCAGCUUGUCACGCCUCUGCCAAGAUGGCAAUAUCGCAGACAGCAUGUUUUCAGUGCAUUAACAAACACCCUAAAGGUUGUCAGGAGGGAGCAACCUGCAAAUAAUUGGAGAUAUUAUGUAUUAGUAAAGGAAUUGUUCUUCAGUUUUCCAAGAUGUCCAUCAGAAAGACAACAAUUGCAAGGAUAAAGGGAAGUAAAGUGACUGAGAAGGUUUUAGCACCUAAGGGGUUGAAUUCAAAGGAAGAAGCUUCUGACAACGGUUCUGGCAUCCUGGUGACCAGCCCAAGGUGGUGCCUGACAGCUGAUGUAAAAAAUGAAAAAGGUAAGAUCAAUGGGAACAUAUUAAAAAGGGAAGAAGAGUAACAAAAUAAAAGACCAAAGUAAAAGAUUUCAGAAUCUCUCAGAAGUCUCUAACUUGAACUCAUUAAUGAAUAAGACAACUUGGACUUUCUUUUACAGCCUUAACACAAAGAACCGAUCCUAUUUUUUAACGUAAAUGGUUAUAUAAAUAAUCCUCACUUUACUUGUCAGGGAGAGGAUGGUUUCUUACUUUGACAUGGAGAUGAAGGGAAACAUAGUCCCUGCUUUGACUUUAUCCUUGAAUUUCAGACAUAAGAUUAAACUUUGAACUCUUCAAUGACUUUGUACUUGUUGAUAGUGUCACUCAAAGUUCAGAUUGCAUUAGUUGGCUUUUGACUUUUCCAGUAGCUUCCUCUGGGGUUAUGUGGCUGUCGCGUUAGCAUCAGAAGCAUUUUAUGGCCUUAGAAGCUUGCAGUCACUUACUGCUAGUGAUUUGCAACCUCAUUGUUGUUCAUUUUAUGACCUUUCAGAUUCCACCUUUUCUUUGACUCCAUUAGGACUUCCUGAUACAAUGACAGAUUAGAGACCCCCAUUUAGUUAGCAGUUCAGCUGUGCCAUCAUAAUUGUUACAAUUUUUCAUAGCACCCCUUUUGACCAGAUAAAUAUUUUCACAAAUUAUAUAGACAUCAAACCAUGGUUGUAGAAUAAAUGGUAUAAUAAAUGUUGAAAAGUUUGAGUUUCUCCAAAGAAGGCCAAUAGAGAAACUCAAAGUAUAGUUUGAUGGUCAUUUUGAUUAUGUUCAAGUUUCCUGUGAUAAAAUUCCAGGUGAAAUGCAUUCUAACCAAGUUCAUUUAAAUGUCAUAGAGUAUUGGCUUUUAUUUUUAAAUAAAGAAUAUUUAUUAAUAUUUCUUUUUAUGAUUAUAAAGUGAUUAUAUUGACUUGAUCUCAGUUGUAAUAGAACUAUUAUGUCAGCUUUUGAUUAAUUGAGGAAGCUGGAACCCUCAGAAUUGAAUAUGGAGCCUUUAACCUCUAAGUCACUGAAUCAAAUCCAGCCCAAAUUGGUAGUGACCAAGAAUGAUUACAACGAUGGCUCUUUGGUGGCCUCUAUGAAGUGUAUUUAGGUCAGGUGGACGUAUGUCAGGAUAACUGCUGACAGAAGGACUCAUAUCUAUAGUUACUACUGCCUCUUCUUAGUCACUAUUGCCAAACACACAUGAAAGGCCCAGGGACUGAGAAAGCCAAGGGUGCAGAAGCACCCACGAGUAGCCAAGCUUUGUAUCUCUUAGAAAGAAGUAAUAAGGACUUCUCUUUAUUAUUGCUAUUAUGAGACAUUUCUAGCUAUUUAAAUGAGUUUACUUAAGGUUUUAGUAAGUUGAGAACUGAGAAUGUUUUCAUGAACAGUCUAGAUACUGAAUUUGAACAGGUCUGGGCUAGGAGCUUAACUUCCUGACCUCUGCUUAUGAGCUUGUCUCUGUUGCUCAUCAACUGUUCUCUGCUCUGCUCUUGCAAAACAGUGCUGUUCAGAUAGUAGGGUUGUUACUGGCAUCGUUACAACUUACUCUAUGCUUUCAAACAGGCUUUAUUACGAAACGCUAACUAUGUGCAUGGUGAAAGACUAUUGGCAAAGAGAUUCUCCCCAAUUUCUCCUUUACUUUUUAAAUUCAUUAUAUUGAAUAUAACGUUUUAAACUCUCUAUUCCUUUUUUGUAUAAACAAAUCACUGUCUGUUGCAAGAUAAAUUUGAAUCUGCUUUUAAUUCAUGAUAAAUUUAAUAAUUUUAUUGAACAGUUAAAUAUCAUUAUUGUAUUAUUUCUAAAGGAAAGUAGCUUAGAUUAGUGCUUCUUAAACCAGCUGUGUUAAAAGAUCAGUUUUUUAAAAAAAUUUCUCAACAAUUAUGUCAAUACAUUUGUGAAAUACACUAAAAAUGAAAUACAUAAAGAAUAAAAUAAGACAAAGGCAAACAAAAUAUGCGUUGAUAUUUUUAUUAUUAGAUUCAACAGAUGAAAAAAUAUAACUUUCCAUAAAUAUUUCUCCAUGUUUUCUCUCAGUGUCUGAAUUUAUUUGUCUGCAUAUCGGUAACAAAAAGUCCAUUGAGCAGCCCUGCUCCAUGGAUCAGACUCUGAGUAGCACUGGCCAAAUUGAAUACAUACUCUGAAACAUGAAUUUAUUUAAACAAGUAAACUUGUAUCUGAUAUGGGGAUAUGAAGCCACAAAAACAAAACUGUUAAGAACAAGAAAUGAUUAAACAUGAAUGAGGUCUAAAAUUUUAACUAGCACUGAGAGUGUACAUAAUUGAUGCCAAACAAAUGUGAAUGCAAUCUGUUAUUCAUUCAACAUAUUUAUUAAGUACCUAUUAUGUGCCAGGAACUUUUCUAGGACUUGAGAAUAUAGCAGUGAAAAAGACCUACAAAUCCCUGAGUUUUUUUUCUGGUGGGGGAGAGAUUAAACAAGCAGAAAAAUAGUAUGGCAAGUUCACUGGUGGAAACAAAAUGGACUGAUAAGAUAGAGACCCAUUGUGUGGUAGGGUAUAGAGGAGCCCUAAAGAGUUGAAAUUUGAACUGAGAAUUGAAUGACUGCAAGUAGGUAAGAAGACGUGGAGGAAGCAUAUGCCAGACACGUCAUGAGGUAGAAAUGAGCUGGGAGAGGUUCAGGAACAGUAAAGGCCAAUGAGGCAGUGGCUCAGUUAGAAGAAGAUUGGAAGGAGACGAGGUCCAAGAGUUGGUCAGGAGUCAGACUUCACAGGCCAAAGCAAGGAGCUUGGAGUUUAUCUCCAGUGUUAUAGGAAACGACUAUGCAGUUGCUGGUCUGGUGGCGCUGUGGUUAAGUGCACACGUUCCACUUCAGCAGCCCGGGCUUCGCAGGUUCGGAUCCUGGGUGUGGACUUGGCACCGCUUGGCACACCAUGCUGUGUCAGGCAUCCCGCAUACAAAGUAGAGGAAAAUGGGAGCUCAGGGCCAGGCUUCCUCAGCAAGAAGAGGAGGAUUGGCAGCAGUUAGCUCACGGCUAAUCUUCCUCAAAAAAGAAAAAAAGUUUUAUGCAGUUCAGAGAUAUCAUAUUAGGUAAAUGUUUAAAAAGUUACUCUAAAACUCUUAUAGCUGUGUAGACAAUGUAUUUUAGGGGACUAGAGAGGAAGUUAGGGGACAGGCAAGAAGUUGUGGUGACUUGGACAUAUUAGUAGCAAGGAGGAGAAGUGAACAGAAUAUGUUUCUGAACAAUCAAUAGAAUUUUCUGACAUGGGGAAUGGAUAAAGAAAUGCGAAGAUUUGAUAAUACUACAUUUUUGUCCUUUAAACAAUGGGGUGAUGGUGACACGCUGAGGUGGAGAAAACAAGAAAGCAGUCAGUUUGUAGUUGGCUGAAUCAGGAGUCGAGUUUUUGUCAGGUUAAUUUGGAGGCGUCUAUUAGAGAACUAAGUGAAAAUGUCAAACAGGAAGUCACAUAUAUGAGUUUCAAGGUGAAGAGAGAAGUCAAUAUGAAAUUGAGUGUUUCUUGUGUCAUUGGCAUUAAAAGGCAUGAAACUAGAGAUUACUUAAGGAAAGAGGAUGGGAAGAGAAGACAUGAGGUCCCUUGAAGAAAUCCUAGGGCCCCCUGUCAGUUAGGAGAGUAUCAGAGGAGAAAAGUUAGCUUAGGAGACUGAGAAAGAGUGGGCGAGGUGCUAGAUGGGUCGUAAGUCAGAGGGAAAGAAGGGAGGGCAGUAACAAAACUAAAUUGACUAGCUGGACUGAGAGGGAGCCAAUAAGCUAGUUAGAGAGGGCAAGAAAAGGAACUGUAUAAUAAGGUGUGUACCCAAGGGGAGGAGGCGUUGUUCCAUCAAACCACAGAGUUCUCACUGAAUGUUAGGAGGGAUAUCCUAUUGAAAACAUCUGCAUCUAAAUAUCACACCACCUCCUUGGAUUAAUCCAUUAGACUUAAUAGAAAACUUAUGCCUUCUGUACAAAUAAUUUUGGGUGUCAUGUAGACUCAGGCUUAAAAAAAAAUCCAUUGUCAUUAUAAUUCUCAAAUUGCUUUUCUGCACCAGGAGCAGAAAUGAGAGGUUGAAAAAAAACUGGAAUGAAAAUGCAACUGAGACUUCAAGCUCCACUUUAAAUGUGCACGGCAAACACACCAGGCGUGCACAUUUUAAAAUAAAACAGAUGAGCUAUUUUAAAUGUUUUAUUGCAAAACUUAAAGAUUGUAGCUAUUACUAUUUAAAAAAAAAUAUUAGAAAGCAAUUUUUCUAUUCUUUGUACCUUUAAGUCCUUGGCUCUGAUGUUCUGCUCCUCUGACCUUGAUCUAAUCAUGAAUAUCUAUGCUACUUAAUUAUAAUAAAAAAAGCCUACAUUGCACUCUAGAUGGUAGAUGCACAUUUUUUCUUCUUUGGUCACCUGCCAGUUCUCAAAAUUAUAGCGGUGGGAAGAAAUGCAAAUGAAGGCUGUGCUUGACAGCUAAACAUAAUGGAAUGCAUGGUCCACAUUUGAAAAGUUACCUUAAAAUAAAAGGUAGCAUAUGAAAAAUCAUUUCUUUAAGGUCACCUAUGGCUUUGAAUUACAGCUUUGAGGAAUUUCCAAUUUAGUCAUCAGAAAGAAAGAAGCCAAAAUAAGGAUUAUAUACUUUGCUAGAAGGAAGACAGAGUUUACUUCAUCAUAGUUGGGUGAUCUUAUAACUUGGAAAUAGAAAACAAAACAAAAAACAACUCCAGAAUAUUCAUUUUGUAGAGUAUUGUGUAAAGUACACCACUGGUGAACAUUUUCUAUUAUAAUUUUACUUGCAGCUGAUAAAAUGUUUUCUUGUAAAUGUCCACAGAAAGGUUACCUUAUCACAUGUUAAAAUAUGUAACACAUGAACUACAAUAGGCUGGCAGUAAACAGAGUUGAUUAUAAAGAUCUGUUAUUUGAAGAAUUGUAUUUCUUUAUUCAGCUGAGUAUAUUUUCAAAUAGGAGAUUGGGAAGUGAAUGGAUGGCUGCUGCACAGCUAUUUAGAAAAUCGGAAUCUAAAAAUUAUGUAUGUACAUAUGUAUGUAUAUAUAUUACAAACACGCAGAAUUAUUUGAUAAUUACACACUCCAGAAAGUGCCAAAGUGGUCUUUCAAUAAACGUUUAUACUUUACAUUUUCUUCUUUCCUGCUAUUUGAGUCUGACAGAGACAAUGUCUCAGACGCAUUUUUGCACAUUGAACCCAUUCCACAGACUACCAGGAGCGCAUGUGCUGCUGAGCGGUGAUCCACAGACCACAGAGCUCUGAGAACAGGUGCAGAGGCUUCUGGGGGUGAUAUUUUCCCUGCUUCACUGACUGAGUAGAUGGUGUAAUAAAAUGAGCUCUAGACUGAGAAAAAUAAGACCUCGUUUCUGGUUCUACUUCCACCAUUUUCUGUGAGGUCUUGGGCAACUCAUUUAAUUAAAUUAUGUCUCCGUUUCAGCAGUCAGUUUAACAAUAGCAAACACUGAUCGAGCAUUUGCCACAUUCCAAGUAUUUAUAAGACACAGGAAUUUCUAAUCGUUUUCAUAAAGGGAUCAUUUCAACAUACUGUGGGAGAUGAAACAGUAAAGAUAUCUCAGGGUGUUACAGGAGCAGAGGUAAAGCAUAUGGAGUCUGGCCUGUAAAAGGAUAUACAGUGCCCCCCCGACCUACCUCACAGGUGUGUGGUCAAAAUGACCAAAGUAACACCAAAAGUAACAUUGGCGAAUGUGCUCAAUUUUUAAAAAUACAAGUGAUUGCACUGCCGUUAGUGGUAGUUGUAUAGAUAAGUAGUAGAAACAGUGGCAGUAGUCAAAGUACUACUAAAAGCAAAAUAUGUUAGAAAUUAAGUUCAGAGUUAAAUAAGACAGAUGAAUGGAUUGAGCAAAGGAACAGAAUAGAAACUCCAGAAAUUCAAGUGGCAGUAUACAAUGAAGAUGACAACUCCAAUUAGUGGGGAAAAUAUAGACUUUUUAAUAAGUGAGUUUAGAUAACUUAAUAGUCAUACAAAAAAAAAAGAUAAAGUUGAGUUCACUCUUAAAACCUAUUCUAAUACAAUUUCCAAAUGGGUCAGAGAUGCAAAGGUAAAAAAAAAGAAAGGAAAUAAUAUGAGUACCCAAAGAUAAUAUGAGUGAACUCCUUUACAAUCCGGGAGUGAAGAAAACUUUUCCGACAUGAUUCAAAAUUUAUGAGCAGUAAGAGAGGAGAUUCAUAAAUUUGACUUAUAAACAUAAACCUCCCCAAAAGACAAAAAACAAAAACUUAGGAAGUCUUAUGCUUGCAAAAUAACUCAAGAAGCAAAGUUAAAAAUAUGUGACAAACGGGAAAUAUUUGCAACUUCUAUCAUAGACAAAAAGUAAUAUCCCUAAUAUAUAAAAAUCUUCUAAAAACUGAAAGAAAAAAAUCCAAGGCCCUAUAGAAAAAAUGGACUAGAUAGAUGAACAGGUAGUUCACUUAAAAAAAGAACAAAUUGCUCUAUAGCAAUGAAAAGAUGUUCAACUUUCUCAUAAUUAGAGAAAUGUUAAUUAAAACCUCACUGAGAUGCCAUUUCCCAUCCUCAAAUUGGCAAAAAUCCAAAAGCUUGAUAACAUACUCUGUUGGAGGACUAUGGGGAAACAGGCGUUCUCAUACAUUUUUGGUGAAAACACAAUAUGGUACAACCACUACAGAAGGGAAUUUGGCAAUAUAUAGCAAAAUUAUCUAUGGAUUUACUUUCUGACUUAGCAAUCCUACUUGUAGGAAUCUAUCCUAAAGAUAUGCUGGGAAAAAAAUGCAAAGAGAAGUAUGCACCAAGAUAUUCAUUAGAACCUACAAAAGUAAAGAAAAAACUCAAAUGUCCAUCAAUAUAAGACUGGUGAAAGAGACAAUAGUUCACCACACAAUGGAAUACUAUGCAGCUAUAAAAAGGAAUGGGGAAUAUUUGUAUAUACAAUGGAAGCAAUCCGUAGGUUAUAUUAAAUGAAAAAAGCACAUGAGAAAAGUAUGGAUAAUAUGCUACUGCUUAUAUAAGAAGGGGCAAAAAUACAUACAUAUACAUAGAAACACAAGCACACAUAUGUAAAAUUUUAAUAUUUUCCUCUAUUAAAAUAAUAGAAGAAGAAUUCUUUAAAAAUAUGUAAAUGGACACCUAAAGGAAUGAGAGGAUACAUGAAUAUAAGUCGAACUUGUUUUGUACAUGGAUUUUUAGAAACAUGAAACUAUAUACACAAUUUAAAAAACUUAAAUUUUAAAAAUACCUCAAAGCAUAAAGGAAAAUGGAACAAAUGUGCUUAAUUGUGUUUAAAGUUAAGUUAGUGGGAUAACCAGACAGAGAGGACUAUACCAGGUGACUUUAAAACAAUAAUUUUAGUGUACAUUCCCAGGGAUUAUAACAUGAAAAAAAACUGCAAGAAGAAUCUUGAAAGUGUUUUCAAUAGCCAUAUUAGGAUAAAGCAAAUAUGCAAAUAUAUUGCUGUCAUUGAGAACUGGGAUUUUUGUCAUGGGAAGACGUCGAAAAAGAUCUGAGUUUGGUAAGGUUUAGUAAAAAUCUGUAGCACUGGCUUUGGUUAGGGUAUUACUAUCCUCCAUAAUGUACAUUAUCUUAGAAAGAAAAAAAAUUUCCAGCUUUGUGCACUGACAAGACCUGGAAACUGUGAUAGACUAAGUAGCUGUAAGCUGUAAGCUGCAAGCUACAAUGGGGAUGUAAGCAUCCCCAUUGAGAAGACUGUAGUUUAUAAAUACCGUUAUACACGAAAAGGAAACACAAUUCUUUGGAGAAAGAGAUGAUGCAAAGUUUAGGGGAGGAAAUCACGACCAGAGAAUAUCUUGGUAUACCAGAAAGCAGGGAAGCAAUCGGUGAUAACAGAGGCUUGUCUGGAGGACUCAGGCACCAGCAUGAAGACGACCCCACUGUCCAAAUAGGGAAAAAUUUGAGCAUCAAUAAUUGUAGUAGAUUGAAACACAUUGAAAAAUUUAAGUCCACGAAUUAACAGUAAUAGUUUAAAAAAACUGCUAAAGAUCAUCUUUAGAAGAUAUUGAAGCUCAAUUCAUUAUUUUGAAAAUCUAAAAAUAGAGGGAAAGAAUUAGACAUUUAUCUUCUUCUUCUUACAUAAACUGUGCCUCUGUGUAAUUAAAUGGUUGAUGAAGAGAGAUUUCUAUUUCUUCAGCUAAUAAAAGAAGUGUAGACUAUCACUACCUUGCAACCCCCAAAAGAGUAGUAGGCAAAAGUCAUCAAUGGAUGUUGACAUGGCGAAAACAGAGAUAGUCAGAUACUAUGCCUCUUGACUGAAGUACAUACUGCCAUCUAUGAAGGAGUUUUGCCCCCCUCAAUAAAAAAUCUGAAUAUGAUAGAGCAUCUAAGUCUAUCAGACAAUUUACAGGAAAUACAGAGGGAGAAAACCUGUGGGAUGAAACCAAGUGGAUGUAAUCAGCAAGAUCCAGAUGAUGGGAAAUGCUCUAUGAAAUGCUCAGAUUUCUUAAAAAAAAAUGAAAAGAGAGAGACAGAGAUGAAGAGGGGCCAUAUAUAUGGUUUAAGGGACAUACAUGCCAACUGCAAUAUAUGGGCCUUGUUUGGACUUGAUUUGAACUAUAAAACAAAACAAAAUAAAUUUAAAAAUUGGAAACAGAGAGAUUUUAAUAGUGACCAGAUAUUUGAUGGUAUUCGCUCCUUCCAUAUGUGUGUGUGUUAUAUAUGUUAAAUACUUUAAAAAAGACAUAAUCACAGUGUCAUUAUUACACACACACAUAAACGAAAUGUUAUAUUUAGUUUUUGCUUCAAAAUUACCAGGUGAGAUGGGGCAAAAGUGAAUGGAGAUGGGUUGAUAAUUGUUGAAGCUGAAGGCUAGAUAGAUGGAGUUCAUAUAUGAUUUUUUUCUACUUUUAUGUUUAAAAUAUUCCAUUAUUAAAACUUUUUUAACAAGGGAAAAAUAAAAGAAGAUAAGGAUUCUUGAGAUUCUUGCAGACAUUGUUACUCUUAAGUGUAAUAACUGGCAGAAUCUACAAAUUCUGUGAGUUGAAAGUGAAGUUAUAGGGAACCGAAUAGAAAAGAGAUGUGUCAAGAAAACCAUAAAAGCCAAAAAAUUUAAUGCAAAGCGUGAUUUACUUACAUUUUUCUGGCUGAUAGAUCAGGUUAUAGUGCAUCAUAGGAAAAGUUAUCAGAGCCAAAAGCGUAGACGUAAAAGGAAUAAGUAAAACCAGAGCCCAGGCCCCUGAGUGCCGGAUGUAAGAUAUUCCUGGAAAGAUAGCAGUUGCAUUUAGGUUCACGAUCCAAUAAAAAUUGGGGUACACAGACAGAUGAAAAUAAAAGUAUCAUUGAGAUACUUCCAAUAACAGCUGCUAAUUAGAAUGCUUUUACAUAAAUGUAAGCUAUAAAAUAGUGGCAUGUUAGACUUUGUAAAUAUUGUUUCUUAGAGUUCUUAAUAAGUGUAUCCACAUCACCUACGUCUUAUCAGUUUCAUUAUCUUUGUUUCAUUCCUCUUUAGAAUAGACGUAUAGUAUAUUCUCUUUUAUCUAAAGCAGCAGUUGACAAAUUUUUUUCUGUAAAGCACUUAAUAGUAAAUAUUUUAGGCUUUGCAGGCCCUAAGGUCUCUACAGCAACUGCUCAACUCUGUGUUGUGGCGCUAAAGAAGCCAUACUGCAUAGCUGAAUACACCUACUGAACCUGGAAAAGGUAACGUGGUUAAGGAGUUGGGUCUUCCUAUUUAUUCCACUUUUCAAAGUAUGGGAAAACUCAGGAACACUCAGGUUAUACCCAGACCAUGCAUUAAACCAAAGAAAUGAGUGUCAUUUGCAUAAAACUUUUAGCGUCUCCUGUAAAGAUUAGUUUUACAAAUAAGUACCCAUCCCAAUGGUCUGUUUUGCAAGUUCUGAGGAAAUCACUUCUCCCUCUCAACCCUUCAUUGGGUGUAAAUCCUGCUGUUAGAAUCCCAUUGCAGGGGGGAGGAGGUGUCUUAACAUUAACUUAAAACAAUUAUUGAGGUAAAAUUAAAUAUGAUAAAAUUUACUCAUUUAAAUAUAUAGCUUUAUGAAUUUUGGUAAAUGUUUCAGUUGUGCAAACACUAAUAGAUCUAAGUUUUAGAACACAAAUUAUCACAAAAAUUUAAAGGGCUUAGCUGAUUAGAUCAGGCCCACCCAGGAUACCCGGAUAAUCUCCUCUUUGAUUAACUCAAAAGCUGAUUCGAGACCUUAAUUGCAUUGCAAAUCCCUUCACCUUUACCAUACAACAUAACAGAAUCAGGGGAUGAUAUCCCGUCAUCAUUGCCAUGUUCUGUUGUCUAGAAUCUGGUCACAGGUUGUUUUCCACACUCAGGGGGAUGGGUCUAUCAAGAGUGUGACCUAUUCAGGGUCAUCCUAUGGUAUUUCCUGUACAUCUUCUAAUUGAUCCUUCCUUCCCUCCUUCCUUCCUCCCUUCCUUCCCUCCUUCCUUCCUUCCUUUCUUCCUACCUCCCUUCUUUCCCUCUCUCCUUCCUUUUUGGCUUUCUCCCUUCUUCUUCUCUACUUUCCUCUACAUGAAAGAAGAAGCAGAGUCAACAGGUAAGACUGGCUAUGGGAAGGGGAUAUUGAAGGCUUGAGAAGAAAGGAAAAGAUCAGAAAUAGUCACACGAGGAAGACGAUAGGGAAGGAGUGGAAACCGUAAACUUGCUAGGCGAUGGUAACGGGCUACUUGAGGUUGGUCAUGAAGUUAAUGUGAACAUAGCACGAUUUUGGCAUUUUUCUCCAGACUUGUUUGCCUGUGUGAGUACAGUAACGGAACAGGCGGAGAGCUGAAUUUUACCCAGGAUUAUUUCCUCUGUUGCUCAGAAGAGUACUGCAAAGUGAGGGGAGGGAGAGGGAGGAAUUACAUUGUUAAUUAAUUGAGGAGCAGCCUCUUUACCCCACCUCAUUCCACUUGCUGUUGGAAAUGGAGUCUCGGUUCCCUGCUGUGCCCAGCUGACAGGACCCAGGAGGGCGGAUGGGAGCACUGCCUGUUUCUGGUGGGCAGGGGAUGGAAGACCUCUCUUUGCUUGGCCCGAACACCACCACUCAGGCUGGGGAAUCAGAGUGUCCCUGCCUGCUUCUGCUCAAGUGUGUGUAUGUGUGUGUGUGUAAAAUAUUAGAUUCCUGUUUCUUGCUGAAACAAUAGGGCCAGAGGGGCGGAGGGAAUGCAGUCUUUCCAGAGUGUUUGUCUGAAGUAGGGCAACUAUUGUCAAACAGAUUAUCUCUUAUGUUAGGCUACUAUUUUUCUAGUACUUUGCCUAAGGGGAGCAGACUUUUCUGGGAUCUUCUCCAGCUCUCCCCCAACCCUUGCCCCCACCAUACCUCUUGCUGCUGCCAGGUUAUAGAUUUCUCCAUUGCCCUGACUGUUGGCAAAAGGAAAACUCACUGCUGUCCUCUCUCAAGUUCUAAGAUCUCUAGGUAGAGACUCUCUUCUUUCUUCCACCUUUCAGAACCUUCCUAAGUUUGCUGUGUUAUGUCAGGGUUUUUAAGAUAUAAAAAGGAGGACCUGGAAUGAAUGGGGCUGCUCUCUUGGCCUAUCCCGGAAAUUCUCUCUGUUCCUUCAGUUGGGUAAUUUGUCUUCUUGUUGUUGAUUUGUAAAAGUUCUUUAUAUGUUCUCCAUGCAUGUCUUUUGUCAGAUAUAUGUACUACAAAUGUUCUCUCCCAAUCUGUGGCUUGCCUUUUUAUUGUCUUAAUAAAAUCUCCUGAUAAGCAAAAGCUUUUAAUUUUAAUAAAUUUUGACUCAUCAAUUUUUUUGUUGGUUCAUGCUUUUUGUGUCCUAUGUAAAGAAUACUUUCUAAAUGCAGGUCACAAGUUUUUCUCCUUUUUUUUUUUUCAGUGGUUUUAUAGUUUUAGAUCUUUUGUAAGGUCAAUGAUCCACUUUGAAUUAAUUUUUCAGUAGGAUGUUACGGGUAAUCUUUUUCUAUAUGAUAUACAGCUACUCCAGCACAAUUUAUUGACAACAUGAUCUUUUCUCCAUUGAAUGUUUUUAGCAGCUUUUUGGAAAAUCAAUUGGCCAUGUAAACGUGUUAUUUUUUCCUGAUUCUCAAUUCUUUCUGCUAAUCUCUCCUUGUGCCAAUACCAUACUGUCAUUACUGUUGCUUUUUUCUCUUUUUUAAACAGCUUUAUUGAGAUAUAACUGACAUAUAAUAAACUGCAUAUGUUUAAAGUGUACAAUUUGAUGUUUUGACUAUGUAUCUACCCAUGAAAUGAUCACCACAUUCAAGACAGUGAACAUAUCCAUCAUUCCCAAAAGUUUCCCUAUGUCCCUUGAUAAUCCCUCCCUAUUGCUUCUUCUUGCCAUUUCCUCAUCUCCAGGCAACCACUGAUCUUUUCUGUCACUAUUGGUUAGUUUGCAAUUAAAUAGAAUUAUCAAGUAUGCACUCAUUUUACCUGGCUUCUUUCAAUUAGCGUAAUUAUUUUGAGAGUCAUCCGUGUUGUCAUGUUUAUCAGUAGUUCAUUCCUUUUUAUUCACAAGUAAUAUUUCAUUAUAUAUAUAUAUAUAUACUACAACUUAUCUUAUUUAUCCAUUUAUCUGUUGAUGGACAAUUUCCAGCUUAUGGCUAUUACAAAUAGUGUUGUUAUCAACAUUCAUGUGUAAGUGUUUGUAUAGCUAUAGACUUUCAUUUCUCUUUAGUAAAAACUUAGGAGUGAAAUGGCAGGGUGAUAUGGUGGAUGUAUAUUUAACAUUUUAAGAAAUUUUCAAAUGGUUUUCAAGUGGUUGUAACAUUUUACAUUACCACCACCUGUGUGUGAGAGUUCUAAUCCCUCCAAAGCUUGGGCAACACUUGGUAUGGUCAAUCUUUAAUUUUAGCCAUUUUGAUAGACGGUAUCCCAUUGUGGUUUUAUUUCGCAUUUCCAUGAUGACGAAUCAUAUUGAGCAUCUUUUCAUGUGCUUGAUGGCCAUCUGUAUAUCAUCUUCGGUGCAGUUUCUCUUCAAAUAUUUUGGCCGUUUUUUAAACAUUGAGUUGUUUGUUUUUUUUUAUUAUUGAGUUUUAAGAAUUCUUUAUAUAUUGUGGAUACAAGUUCUUUAUUAAAUAUGUGAUUUGCAAAUAUUUUCUCCAGUGUGUGGCUCAUUCUCUUAAUAGUACCUUUUGAAGGGCAGAAAUUCUUAAUUUUGAUGAAGUCCAAUUAUUUUUUUUUCUUUGACAGAUCAUGCUCGUAGUGUCGUAUUUGGGAAAUCUUUACCUAAAUGAAGGUAAUAAAAAUUUUCUCCCUCUUUUUCAGAGAGGAAAUCUGAGCGCUGGAGAACGGAAGUGACUCAGCUGUGUUGCUGCAGAGCCAGCAGUAAAAGCCACCUGUUCUGGUGCAGCCUCUAAGGAGAGGCUAACUGGGCUAGGUGUCCUUUUUAUAUUUCUUUCCAGUUAUUGAUUUUAUGACAUCACCAUUUCCUCAUUAAUCCAGCCUUUGACAUUUAAAAUUACCUUUCAGUCAUGCCUCUCACCACAUUUUACAUAUCAUUAAUUAUAAAUACUGUGUUUUCCUUUCAGAAUGGUGGUCAGAAGAGAUGAGUUUGAGUCAUAGCUCUGACAGUCACAUGAUCUGUGAUCUUAGGCUCUCUGGAAUUCCAAGUCUUCAUUUUAAAAAUAAGGAUCAUACCUGCUGGACAGAGUUUUUUCAAAGACUGAAUGAAGAACACAGACUAGCUGCACAGUGCCAAGCAAAUGUUGUUGCUGUUCUGAAUUUUUCUCCACUCUCAAUUUCAGGAAGAAAAAGAACAGUGAAGUUGGAGCAUAGUGAGAAAGGAAAAGAGCUUUAGAAGAGAAGAUCCAGCAGUUAAGUGUGGUCCAGAUCCCUUAGGACCCUGAAGCCCAUAGAUGCUGCCACAGCAUGGCUUGACAAGUCGUGUGUAGGUCUGCACCUGAGAUCAGAACCCGAGAACCCCAGGCUGCUGAAGCAGAGUGCAUGAACUUAACCACUAUGCCACCAGGCUGGCCCCAAGGGAAACGCUUUAUUUUAAUGCUAAGUAUUGCUGAGAAAAUCCAGGAGGACGCUGUGUGACUCUUUAGUACACAACAUGGUGAUGUAAACUGAAUUACUCUAAAGAGGGUCAAGGAAAAUUACAAUUAUUCCAAGACUUAAAUCUUGUGAAAGGUAGUUAGAAACCAAAGAAUUAUGGUGCUGAGUAUCUAUGUAUGGAAAGAGAUUUCACAUAAAGUACUAAAUGCGUUUUUAAUGAAUGCCACCCAACCUAUUUGAUUUGUAAUUUUCUGAAAGAAUGACCUAGUACAGGCAUGUUUUAUAUAUGUCUUUGUUGAUCCAUGGACAGGACUAGCCACAGAUAAUUAAAGGUGAAAUUGUAUAUGUACCAACUGUAAAAAAAUAAAAGAAAUAAAAAUCCACAGUCUUCAAACUCACCAUUAAGACUCCUUUCAUCUCAUAGCUCACUAGCAAAUUGAAUAUAUAAAGCACCUCUCACCCAGAAAGUCAGAGAGCAAAGCACUAAAGCAAAACAAAUACCAGUGAUUAAGGAAAAUUGAAAGCAGCAGUAAAAAUAAGUUUCUUUAGUCUACUUUUAAAUACAGACUAGGAACUGCAAAUAAGUGGUAAUUUUUUCUGUCUUUAUGAUUCUAUGGUGUUGAAUGCAAAUAAGGAAACAAAACUUGUUGCUGCAAAACUCAGCAAUCCUUUUGAGAUUAUUUACUUUAAACAUUCACCUUAAUUUAUCUCGUAGUAAUUUUUAAAGUCACUCAAAUAUUUUGUCAUUUCUUAGACUGACCGAUUUUGACAUGCUUCAGACUUUUUAAGUGAUUUUAGAGAAACAGUUUAAAAUGAUCUUUCCUAACUUGAAAAGGUGUCAGUGAGGGGAGGUACUUGCAGGUCUUCAUAGCAGUAGUGGACAAUUUGAAGAGUUCAAAGAGAAGGUUUUAUUCUGUAUUUAAAAAUAUUGAGAUAAUUCACUGGGGAUUUGCGGCUCUUCAAUGGGAUAAAAUUGGACGACUUAGAAGAGUCAGGGAAACACUUGGGCUCUGAUUUCAUGGUGGAUGGCUGUUGUGAACUCUUGCUUCUUUUAGCAUAACCAUUGGCCCAUCAAAGUUCUUCAAAGAACACUCUGGCUGUCAUGAAUUUGGAGAAAGAAGGAGCAAAGGGAAAUCUUACAGUCCUCACUUUUUGUGUAUGUGAGGAAAAUUCGCCCUCAGCUAACAUCCCUUGCCAAUCCUCCUCUUUUAUUUGCUUGAAGAAGAUUAGCCCUGAGCUAACAUCUGCACCGGUCUCCCUUUACUUUGUAUGUGGGAUACCUCCACAGCAUGGCUGACUCCUGGAGUAGGUCUGCACCUGGGACGCUAACCUGUGAACCCAAGCCACUGAAGUGGCGUGCAUGCAACUUUAACCACUCGGCCCUGGGGCUGGCCCUUACAGUUCUUAUUUUUUAUCUAUAAUUUUUUUCAACAACGCUGUUAAAUGAAAGGCAGUUUAAUAAAGGCAGAUCAUUGGUUUUGGUGAAUAGACAGCAAGAUUAAGGUAAUAGUUAUAUUUUUAAUUAAGAAAUUUGGGGCAUGCCUGUCUUUCUCUCCCUUUUGCUUUUUUUUUUUUUUCUUUGCUGGUAAAGUUUCACCUUAAGCUAACAUCUGUUGCCAAUCUUCCUCUUUUUUUCUUUUUCCUCCACAAAGCCCCAGUGCAUGGUUGUGUAUCCCAGUUUUAAGUCCUUCUAGUUCUUCUAUGUGAACCGCCACCACAGCAUGGCACUAGGCUAUCAGGGCUGGCGCUCUCUCACUCUUUUAACUUGCUGUCAUUCCCUGUCUCUUUUUUCCCUUUCUUUUGUCAACAUCCCAAUUUUAAUAGUGUUUAUGUCAUUUUCUCAUUUCCUGAGUGUAAGAUCUUUGAACCAGUGCGUGUUUACUGAUGAAAAUAAGUCCUUACUCACACACCUGCCAAGUUUAAAAGCAACCAAACAGGGCUUAAGGAAAAGCAGGAGGCGACAGAAGCAGUAAGAAAUUUGUCUUUCUUCUUUUUUUCCUCAAUAUUCUUUGGUAUCCAUAGUUCUAUUUUGGAGAGGAAUUCUGAGUGUAUUUCCUGAAGGCUUACAAUUUUAGCAAAGGUGAAGAAGGAGGUGCCUGCUGUUAUUAGAGUGAGCGGGUAGCAUUUGUUAAACUUCGCUACACCCCACGCAAAUAGAAUUUUGGCAGGUCUAGUGAUUUUUUUAAAGUUAUUUACAGGCUAUUCCUCAGUAUGCAACUCAGAGGAUAUUUUGAGUAUUAAUGUGUAUUAAUAAGAUUAUCCCAUGAGCUGCUUUGCUUUCGUUGGCUGAAAUGCACCUUAUAAAUUAUGAUUUCGCUAUUGCUGAAUAACAUAGAUUCAUAUUUUGUUUCUCUUCUCAAGGAUUAGGUAGAAUUUUUCAUUCAGGCAGAUUUCUAAAUGGGUAAGAAAUUGCUAUGAAUCAUGAAAAGUUUCCAAAGCAGGCUGGCACCCAGGGGGUGCACUCAAACAAUGUUUAGUUCCAUUUCUUUUAAAAGCUCUUUCUAGAUCACUUUGGAAUGCUCUCAUGUCUCUGGAAUUGUUUCGCCAGUUAUGCUCCCAAGUAAUUCUCAUCUAGGAGGUUGAGGAUGGGGCCUAGGAAACGUUUUUAAACAAAGCCCUCAUGUGAUUCUUAAAAUUAGGCAACACUGUCUGAGAGCAGUGGUUCUCAAACCUGAAUACUUAGGCAGCUUUUAAAAAAAUCUGGAUCUCUGGGACCCACCUCAAACUGAUAUACUCGGAACCUCUGAAGGCAGGGCCCAGGCACCAGUAUUUUGGAAGAGGCCUCUGUCGGCUUUCAUGUACAUCUAGGAUGAGAAUCACUGCUUUCAUACAACGCUGAAGUGAAUGUUAAAACAGCUUCUGGAAAAAUGCUGUGGGAUAAUAAGUUUUUACCUCUAGUGUUUCCCUAAGUUACAAGAUGCUAAAUACGAGUAAGUAAGUAUUAAAAUCAAAACUUUUUCAUAUAAAACAGAUAUUAUGUAGGGUCAAUUUGAGUACCAGAUAUUCAAAAUUUCUGGGAUGCAAUAAGUCAGACUCUAGAAUUUUUCAAAAACUUUAGCUAUAUCCUAUUUGGUCCUUUAAAUCAUGCAUAAUUCACUCUGGUAACUGGUUAGCAACAGACUAUGAUAUGCAGAUGGGAUGCAAAUUAUCAGGUAAAGGAAGUAGAGAAAUGUGAAAGCAAGAUUUGAGGUUAAUUGUGGUAGAAUUUAAAAUUAUGCUUAUGAAAAGACUUAAUUAUCCACCUUUCUUUUUGCUUCCAGAAAAGAUUCUGCACAGGUGUAUUUGCCUAGAUGAUCUCCAGUGUGGUGACUCUUAAUUGUACACCUCAGAUUUUGGAAAAUGCUGAAAGAGCCAGGUUCUGAUCUGGAUAAUUACAUAAAGAUGUUGGCAGAUUACUAUGCCUCUUGAUUUUAGGGAGUUUAGCUUUAUUCUUUCAAUGAGGUACAUAGUUGAGGAAGAUCCAGUACCAGAUGGCAAUGUUGGCUAGGAGUGGUUUUCUCACCUACAUUUGGCAGCUCUACUCGGAAGCAGUGCUUUCAAUGCCUGAGACUUCCAGUCUAUACUACUUAACAGGAUCAUUGGGAAGCUUUAGGUGGUAUAGAUGCAAUGACACAUCUCAUUAAAGGUCCUGUAACUAUGAACAUCUGACAUCUGUGCUGAAAAUAGAACUGGAGGCAGCUUUCAAGUGGUUAUAGAUUCAAGUAGUAUGUUGUUUUUUAAAGACAUGACUGCAAUUUGUUAUAUUAACCAGGCUUAUAAUUUCUAGAGGCAUUUUUGACUUGGAGACAUAGAUUAUAAGUUAACGGCUGCCCAUUUUAAAGAUGACCUCCUCCUAAAUGGGUUCCCUCUUUCCCAGAAUUAAGACAAUGAUUUUAGCUGAUGACAUUUGUCAUUUAAUAAUAGCAGUAGCGAACAUGGUUUGAAAAGCUAUAAUGUGCUGGAAUUCUUUAUAUAUAAGCUAUACAACAGCCGUGCAAGCUGGCUGAGGGUCCUGGGGCUCUGAGAGGUUAAGGAACAUGCUGAAGAUCAUAAAACUCCUAAGGAUCUACCAGCUAUCUGGCUGCCCAGCAGGAUGUCUGUCCAUCUUGCAGCCAACCCCUGCAGUAUGUACAGGAAUAGAGUUAGCAUUCAUUUCUACAAGUUGCAACAAGCGCUUGUUCAUAAAAGUUUUCCUUUAGUUUUGUUUUUAAACUUAAAAAACCCACAAAAAACGGAAACAGCCAGGUUCAGCCUUCAAGAACUUGCCAUCUAAAUAGUCCUUUAUCACAUUAAAGAAUAAUGCUCUGAUUCUUUAUACAGAUUUCUAGGUGCUUUCAUUUUAGCUUUUAAAAAUAGUGCAUGAUUUUUUUUAUCAGAGAUUUUAAUGACGUUAGGAAAUAAUAAGUAACCAAAUCAAAACGUGUUCAUCCCACAUUUAGCCUGGCUCCUCACAGCUGCAGAAAUUCAUUUUCACCCCAUUACCCCACCCCCUUCCCAAAGUCCUAAAGCACAAAUCCAUUGGGAGUCCUCUCCGUUUCCCAAAAGAAAUAUUUCAUUCAUAUAAUGUCUCCUUUGUAAUCAACACUGAGAAAUGUCACUUUGAUUAAACACAACUCUGAAUGACUAAGACCACAGUACAAUAAAUUCUCCAGAGCUAUCUUUCAGAGCAACUGAUUGCUCUCCAGUCUUAAUCCUCCAGAGUCUUAUUUAAUCAAAAUGAUGUUGCUAAUUAAGGAUUAAAACCUCCGAAUAGAAUAAAAAAGAAGGAUUUUUCUUUCUCCUUUGGGCAGGUCAAGGAGGCAGAAUUUGUUAUAAGGAAGUAAAAAGUCCCUUCCACCUUUGGUAAAAUUGCAUUAUUCUCUGACGUUGGACUUAAUCCAAAAUAGGCUUGAGUCUUUUGUAAUAUUAAUAUAAUUGAAGAAAGAGAAAGAGAGAGGAAUAAAGGAGAAAAGAAAGUAAAGGAAGUAAGGAAGGAAGAAAGAGAGACAGAGAGAGAGGGAGACAGAAAGAAAGGAAGGAAGGAACGAAGAAAAGAAGGAAGAGAGAGAGAGAAAGAAAGUAAGAAAAAAAGAAGGAAAGAAAUGAACGAACACCCUGCCCUGGAUAGCUACAUAUACCUAGAUAACAUUUAUUCUAAAAUUUUUUCAAUUAAUACUUUUAAUAUGAAUUUUCUUCAACAUUUUGUCUGAUGCUGUCUGUGCAUUGCUUUUAUCUGUUACUAACAUUGAUGGAAAGACAGUACUUUAGAAAAAUGUUGGCAACCCAUUUCACAGAAAAGAGGAAACAGAAGACAACGUAUGUCAGAUCUAUUUGACAUCCACUAAUGAAUACCAAUAACAAAAACAAAAUUCUCUAUUAAAUGCUAAAAUUCUCUACUUUAAGAACAAUAUUUCAAUUUUUCUCUUGAAUUUGUAGUCGAUAAUAAAAAUUGGUUCCUUAAAAACACAUAAAACUGCACAAGAACUCACUGAGAGAGACAAAGAUUCUCAAAAGUGAUUUUUAUGGAAUACAAACUCUUUUAGGUGUUGGGGUGAAGUGAAUGCAAAACAGAGGUGCUGGUUGAUGUUUUAACAAAGGGCAAAACAUUUCUUCCAUCCUUUUCAUCUUCUCUCUGCACUGGCCUGUGAAUUUCUAACCCCUGCCAAAUUAGUCAAUUACGAUGUAAUAAGUAAUAACAACAGCUAGCAGGUAUUGAUCACCUAUUAUGUACCAGAUUCUCUGCCAGUGAUCUGCACAUUAUUACCUCUAAUAAAACCCAAGAAGAGGUAUUAUUAUAAACCCUUUAGAAAUGAUUAAACUGAAGCUUAUAGAGAAUAAACAACUUGACCAAGGUCAGGCAUCUUGUGCUAAGUAGAGGUGAGAAUUCCAUUCAGCCCUCUUCAUCUCCAAAGCCACGUUCUAUUCAAUAUGACAAACCACUUCAGACUUGUUUACUUAGAGGUCAAAUUUCUCAAUGAGUUUCUAGAAGGUUCUGGUAAACUGUGUUGGUCUGUAUCUGACUCAUAUGCUCCGACGAUUUCUGACUGAAUCAUUGCCGCAGGCACCAUCACAUUGUCAAUUACCCAGCCCAACCAAUGACAAAGACUGAACUACUACCAUCAAAAUGGGACUGGAGAGCAAACAAUGAGAAAUCCCAAAAGGGAGAGGAAUGUCCUAAACCUCGUUUUCUCUCCUAACCAGCGUUACUUACCAAUUAAAAAAAGACAUUCAUUUCUGUGAUCCAUACUCCUGAAGGCUGUAAGCAUCCAGUGGACAAAUGAUGCCUCUUAUUCCUCCCAUGGUGAGGCAGAUGGCCAACAGUGGUACAUAAAACAGCCUGUUCCACUCGUUUUUUGGUAUGUUGUUAACCGUAUGGUAAAUACCCACAUAGAAAUCUUCCAAGGGGAAAGCAACCACAGAUAGCAAAGCAGUGCCUGUAAAUAGAGAAAAAGUGAGAAUAAAUAUGGCACAGACCAACUGAAUCACCAAAUCACAUCGUAAAUAAGGUUUUCUCUCUGUAAGUAGCAUCAUUAUAUGAUUGUCUUAUUAAAAUACUUGUUAAUCAUUGCAAUUCAGGAGAUAGCAUGAUUUUUCUAAACGUGAAAAUUUCCUCCAAUAUGCGCUUUAACUAAUCCAGAGUCCUAGUCACCCCCCAAGCUUGAACUAUCUUUACUCUCAGAAUGUAUACACAAAUCAUGUCCAUUUUAACAAAAUUAGUGCUAUGCAAAAAUACAUCAUGUAAGAAGCUAAAAAUUCCUGUAAUCCCACCCCCAGAGAAAACCACUGCUAACAAGGGUUAUUUGUUCUUAAUCAAGAGAGUGAUAGAAAGCUCGAUGAUCUCAGACACCUUAGAAGCCUGUUAAAUAAAGUGUUUUAAGGAGAACAUCAUUGUAGUUGGAGGAGAACAUAGACUCUCUUUUCCUUUUCUAAUUCUCUUUCUCCUUUUAAUGCCCUUCUUAUUUCUCUCACUUCUCAUGCAGCUCGGUGGAACUUUCUUUGUCCCACACAGAGGUGAGAAGGCUGAGGAGAAGGAUGUGAGGGUGAAUGACGCAGUACAAGUGGAAAAGAGGGGAGGACAGAAAGUGAUAACAGAGGGUUGAGUAUUCUUCUCACUUUCAUCUUGCAGAGACCAUACUGGAAGAUUUUUCUUGUCUAAUAGAAAUUAUAAUUCAAUUCCAUACUUUUGCUAAGCUGUUUAUGUUCUGCAAAACAUUUUGCAUACCAUAUUGUUUCAUCUUGGAAAAACUUUGCGAUGUCAGGGUAUAGAUUUUCUUUUUUUUGAAAAUAUUUAUUUUAUUGCAUCAUUUUACUGACUAGAACAUCAAAUUUAUAGUGGAUAUAAGUAUAAAAAUAACUGAAUUCUUACAAAUAAAACUUUGCUGCUACAGUACUGAAUAAUUAGUGGAGGUUGCAAUUAUAAUACAACUUUAAGUAAUAUUCUCAUAAUGGAUUUAAUACAAUCAAUCAGGGACUAAGGUUUAAAGGUUGCAAAGAGAAAUUCAGGAAAGCAUGAAAACUCAAAGUGUUAAUAUUCCAGCUACAUGCUCCGUUUAACCGUAAAACCAGCAACAUAAACAUGAAUAAAACUCAUGUCAACCCAUGAUGAAGCAUCUUUUUUUAAAGAAAGAGGCCAAGGUUCAAUGAGGUUAAGUGACUUGCCUAAUAUUAUAGAAUAACCCAGAUGUAAUCUCCUUCUUCUUGGAAUUCCUGUCGUCAAGUGGUCAAAUCAUUAAUUUUUUUUUUUGUCGGUUUGAUUAGUGAAAAAUAGCCUCUCCAUGUUAGUAGUGUCUUCCAUUUUCUUCAUGUGGCAUUCAUAUUGUUUUGUAUAAAUUUUUUAUAUGGUUGCUUUAUGUGGUUAGUUUUCUAAAUCAGACUAUAAGCUCCUUCAAGACAAAAGUUUGGCCUAAUGUUUCUGUCUCCCUUACAGUGGGUUUCACAAUGUGAAAAAUAUAUGCACACAAUAGUUAUUUGAUAACAGGUUGGUUUACCAUGAGUGUAGGCCCUUUAAAUGAUUGAGUUUGAAAUGUUUCCUAUCAAGGUUAGCCAGAUGUGCAACUAACUGCUCUCUCUCUGUCACUCAGUCUUUGUCUUGGAAGCGUGACAUGAGGCCUGGCUUAUCCAAAGAGGAUGGACAGAGAAACUGCUUCUUGCAGCAACCAUUUAUUUAGAGACAAAGCACUUUUAGUGGUACCUUUGUGUCCGUUAAAAAGGCACUUUGUUUCUAUCUUUUAAGAAAAUGUCAUAAUAUACUGAUGUCAUUAGAUCAAAACUUUAUUUCUAUCAGCUGUCAAAUUGAUGUAGUAAGAAUACAAAUCAAUGACAUUUAUGAUAAAAAGUUUUCUCUUUGAUCCGUGGUAUUGUGCUCCACAUAAUGAGCAUACCUGUACGUGUAGCUCUGUAUAAAGCACCAAGAUGUGUCAAGAGUAGUGGGGUCCACUGGCUCUUUUCUCCAGAAGCUAAUGAGUCCAUCAGGGAAGGCAGACAUGCAGGUAGACAACUACAUUGUAGUGGAAUAAAUGCAGUCAUAGAGGGAUGAUCAGAGUGUGACUGAGCACAGAGAAGCAAGCAACAAACGCUAUAUGGGUGUGGAAGGAAGGGCAGAAGUUUUCACUUUUUGGAUACAGAGUGGAAAGAUAAAGGAAGGUGACAAUUUCAGGCCUAGAAAAGAGGACUUGUAAGAUUAAAGAAGGAGGAAAGCAGGCAAGGAGAAGUUCAGCAUGGUUGAGUUCAUCUAUUGAGACUGAAGUCUGGAGAGGUAAAUUUGGGACAGAUUGUAAAGGUUUGUAUGUCCUAAGCUGGAUUCUAUGUCUUAGAUAAUAAAGUCAAUAUAUAGGUUUGUUUUUUCCUGAAGUCAAUGUUAUUGAUAGACAGGUGUAUGGACUGGAGUCACUGAUAACUGAUGGUCCAGUCAGUAGGCCAUGGUAACGGUCAAGAAAAAGAAAGCUGCGUUUUUGAGCUAAGGUUGUAGCAAUUCAGACAGAAGAUAUAUUUUUGAUAGAACCUCUGAUAUUUAUUCAUCAGCUGGAAUUUGAUGGCAGCCUUGAGUAGGGGACACAAGAAAAUAACUUUUAGUAAGAAGAUGAAUAGACAGGGAACUGACUGAGGUCUUUAUUUGCCAAAUUCCAAAGGUGGACCUUUAGUCCGAAUCUGAUGACUUACACAGGAAUUUAGACUGAUAGGAAUUACCACUUUACCAACCCCUACUGAUAUGGCCUGUUACCAAGGUAAGAAUGGCAGAUCAUUCAAGCCCUUGCUUAAAUGCCUACUUAUCAGAAAACAAUCCCCCCUACAGAACAGCAACCUUGUCACUGUCCAGUGCAUCUCAUCCCCUUGACCAGCUUUAUUUUUCAUCAUAACACUCGUUAACAUAUGGCAUAUCUAUUUACUUGUUUCUUUUCUCUCUCUCUGCACCAGAAAGUCAACUUCAGCAGAGAAGAGACUGCUUUCUUCUCUGUUACCUUCCGAAAUCCUGGAACAAUGCCCGGCACAUAGGACUGGAUAAAGAAUAUUCAUUGCCAUGCAGUGACUUAAGUUUUAUUUCAAAUUAUUCUAAUUUUUGGAACUAAAGCAGGGAAGAGGUUUAUAAGUUUGAAUCACCCUCUAAUCCAUCCUGUGAAUGGCAAGUUAUCACGUGCCUGGAAUUGUGUGAUAUGUUGAAUACCUGAUAUCCAUCCCUUCCUCAUUCAUCUCUUCCCCCAUCCCCUAAACCUGCAUCUGUGCUGUACUUCUCAGUAUUAGUGAACAGCACACCACCUUCCUAAGUUCCUCAGCUCAGAAACUCGGAGUUAAUUUUUGUUCCUCUAUCAUAUUUGUGCCUUUAUUUAGUUUCCGAGUUUUUUUGGUUUUUCCCAUGUUCUCUCCUGGAUUGACAUGUCUCCGUUGUCUAGGCCAUCAUCCUGAGAGUUCUGGUCUCUGUCUAUUUAACUUCUCAUUGUGGUUGCCCAUCCUGUUUACUGAAGAAAAGCACUUCCCAAAUGUUUUCUUUGUAUCUUCAGUGCCUCCUUGUUGUCUAGAGAACAACUUGAACUUCUCAGCCUAAAAUUCUAGAUUGUUCAUCAAAUAUCAAACAAUCUUGAUAUUUCCUCAACAUUUGUAGCAAUCAAUUCACUCCCAAGCUUUUGUGAAUAUAUUUAUUUUUCUAUAUAAAGAAGCACACUGUAGGAUUUGAAUUAAUUCAUUUUUUUUAGAAUAACUGUAGUUCAUAAUAUAGAAAUCAUGUCUUCAUAUGCAAUCUUAAUUACUAUUUGACUAAUUAAAAGACCACCUUUUGAUGAGAACAUUCCUCAAUUAUUCCACAUGAACUUUAAAAACCUUUUUAGCACAUUUCGUCUUAGUUGUGAAGCAAAUGAACUUCAUGUUUCACAUAGAAUUUGUCACAAAUUUAGACUUGGAGUAGGAAGGGGGAAAAGGAGAGUUUUCUAAGGAGUACAGAAGACAGACACAUAAAGAGGUAAUUAUUAUGAAAUAUAAUCAGUGCAAUGAUAUAGGUAUUAAAGCUUCCUCACAAACACACGCACGAACAUUUACUAGCAUCUCUCAAAUAAUACAGAGAAUGAAAUAAAUUGAAACAACAUUCUCACUUCAUUUAUCACAUUUUAUGCUAAGAGUAAGUUAGGAAUAACAUGAACUAAAACUUCCAACAAAAAUCUAUCCAAUUAGGUUGCAAAACAACAGUCAGAAGAGGACACUCACGUGGAAAAUGUAGAAAUAAACAAAUAUAUACCAGUUUAUUUCUUCCUAGACAGACAUCAGCAAGCCAUCUCGCAAACACAGGGGUAAGUAUUGAAAUUCCAGUAAAACACAAGUUCAAAAUGGCUGCCUGGGAGUUGCCAUAGCCAAGCUUGACGGCGCAAAAAGGGAUCAUAUUGCAGACAACUUCAAAGAAAAUGAACCUCUCACACAGCUCCACCAGAAGCAAACAGAUUCCAACCUGAAUUUUUUCGCAGAGUCUGAUGAAGAGAAACAGCCAACAUGUCUUAUAGUUUUCUCCUUCUUAAAGCUGUGAUUUAAGGGUAUUUUCUCAUCAGUUAUUUUAAAAUCUGUAACAGACUUGACUACCUUUCUUGAAUACAGCUUAUGUUAGUGAUUUGAACUUGGUGAUUUUUACCUCCCCCCUCUACUGAAAAAUAAAUAAUAACUUUGCUUUGAAUUUCACACCUCCAUGCUAAAGUUUCGUAAGGGUUUUUGCACAUUAAUGCUG